GGUUGUGUAGUGUAGUGGUUAUCACUCUGGAUUUUGACUUGAGCCUUCCCUUCGGUCACUGCCUUCCAGUAACCCCGGUUCGAACCCGGGCACGACCU
rfam:Podospora anserina genomic DNA, chromosome 3.